rnacentral:rRNA from 1 species
AUUGAACGCUGGCGGCAGGCCUAACACAUGCAAGUCGAGCGGAGCGGCGGACGGGUGAGUAAUGCCUAGGAAUCUGCCUGGUAGUGGGGGAUAACGUCCGGAAACGGGCGCUAAUACCGCAUACUAUCAGAUGAGCCUAGGUCGGAUUAGCUAGUGGGUGGGGUAAAGGCCUACAAAGGCGACGAUCCGUAACUGGUCUGAGGGGAUGCUCAGUCACACGGGAACUGAUACACGGUUCUGACUCCGAGGGGAGUCAGCAGUGUGGAUAUUGCACAAUGGGCGCAAGCCUGAUGCAGCCAUGCCGCGUGUGUGAAGAAGGCCUUCGGGUUGUAAAGCACUGUCAGCGGGGAGGCGUUACCCGCAGAAGAAGCACCGGCUAACUCCGUGCCAGCCGCCGCGGUAAUAC